AGAGAUCAAACCGUUGUAUUAUUACCGUGUGAAGUAUGCAUCUUGAACCAGAAAAGUUGGCCUCUAUGCAGCUCAUGCAGAUUCAUACACACAAGAAUUCAUGCACAUAAGUUGUCCGGGUAAAGUACGUGCAAGAAUCUAUGCACAUAAGUUUCCCGGGUAAAGUACGUGCAACUAAAGAUGUUAAUGCUACUGCUUCAUCUUAGUUUCAUUUUGUUACCUUUUAACAAUGUUUUUGUAAUUUAGUUCAUUUUGAAUUAUGUUUGGAUGACAAGUUGAUGUAACUUGAUGGUCAAAGAGCUGGUUACCAGCUUUGUUUAAGUGUGCAAGUAAUAUCACCUAGUUCCAAUGUAAUAAGUGGAGUUAGUUAGUGUUUAGGUGAUGAAUUUAUUGUUUUUGACCAGCCAAUGUCUGGUAUAUGUAAUGGCUUUGAGCCAAAGUUUCUUUUUGAAUGAAAUCAUCAGAUUUUCUUUCCAUAUGCUCUAUUUUGUUUGCCUUCAAAAUUCUGUUCUUCAUUCUUGGCAGUAGCUAAAAGCAUGAACUCCAAGUAUUUUUCCUUCAUUCUUUAUCCGGGUAAAAUACGUUGCUGUUAAAGUCCAGAUUGAAGUUCUUACUUCAUCCGGUUAAAGUGUGUCUAACACCAACAAUUGGUAUCUAGAACUGCAUUCUUAAGGGACCUGUUCUAGCAAACUUUAAAAACGAUGGCUUCAUCAAGCUUCUCACCAGCUGCACCUCAAGUUUUCAAUGGAGAAGGAUAUCACAUUUGGGUAGUCAAGAUGAGAACCUACCUCCAGGCAUUUGAUCUAUGGUAGGUAGUUAACUCAGAUGUUGAACCAGAACCAUUGAGAGCAAAUCCAACAGUGGCUCAAAUGAAGCAGUAUUCUGAAGAAAAAAGUAAAAAGCACAAAGCCAUGUCAUGCAUUCAGAACCGUGUUUCUGAUGUAAUUUUUACUAGAAUCAUGGCUUGUGAAACACCAAAACAAGCCUGGGACAAACUCAAGGAGGAGUUCCAAGGCACAGAGAGGACAAGGCAGCAGCAGCUCUUGAACCUAAGAAGGGAUUUCGAGAAUUUGAAGAUGAAGGAAGAAGAAACUGUCAAGAAGUAUUCUGAUGGCUGUAGUUAACAGCAUAAGGCUCCAUGGUGAACAAUUUGAUGAGGCAAGGAUUGUGGAGAAAGUGCUCUCUACCUUACCAGAAAGGUAUGAGGCAAAAAUCUCAUCUCUUAAAGACUCAAGGGACUUAACCACCAUCUCUUUAAUAGAGCUGAUUAAUGCUCUGUAUGCACAAGAGAAAAGGAGGGCCAGCAGAUCGGAAGAGCACCAAGAAGGUGCCUUUCAAGCCAAAGCCAAGUCUGUCUCGAGCACCUCUGCCUACAAAGGCAAGAAUACCUGGUCAAACGAGCCUAAAGCAGAUGGUGCAGGAAGCUAUCCACCCUGCCCACACUGCAAAAGGGUAAGUCAUCUGGGUAAAGUAUGUUGGUUUAGGCCUGAUGUACAGUGCAGAUUCUGCAAGAAGAUGGGUCAUGUAGAAAGGGUUUGCAAAAACAAGGGCAGACCAAGAUACAACCAACCCCAGCAGCCAAGAGCUGAAGCUUAAGUAGUAGAAGAAUACAAUGACCAAGAAGAACAAGUUUUAGCAGUUUCUUACUCAGCUGCAAAAGGAAAAGCCACAAAUGGAUGGUUGAUAGACAGUGGUUGCACAAACCACAUGACCCCUGAUGCUGACAAUUUUAAGUCAAUUGACAGAAGCUUCAAAAUAAAUGUGAAGGUCAGAAAUGGACACUUCAUCAAAGUUGAAGGCAAAGGAGAUGUGCUGAUAAACACUCCUACAGGUACUAAACUUGUUACAAAUGUCUUGUUAGUGCCUGAAAUUGAUAGAAAUUUGCUUAGCAUUGCUCAACUGCUUGAGAAGGGCUAUUCAGUUGUAUUCAAAGGCAAAAAAUUCCUGAUUAGUGAUCCUAGUGGAUCCAAGCUCAUGACAGUAGCUAUGAUAGAAAAAAGUUUUAUUGUGGACUAAAAUAAGAGUCCAGUAGUGCCUACACAGCUGCUGCAGAUGAAUCCAAGCUGUGUCACAAGAAGCUUAGCCAUGCCAACUACAUGUCAAUGGCUCAACUAACCAAAGAAUAUUUGGUUGAAAAUUUCACUAAUUCAGUUGAAAAAGAAAGGAAACUUUUGACACUCAAAGAGGUGUAUGAUAUGCAUGGGAACCAAUCAUCUGCUCAGAUAAAAGAAUUAAAGGCACAUAUAACUAGCUUGGAACUUGAGUUGAAAUCAUUGCAGGCAACUAACAGAGAUAUGGCGGAGCAGUUAGAAAACAAAGCAAGUGAAGCAGAAAAACUGGGAGAACAAAAUAUAGGAUUUCAAUCCCGCAUUUCAGAACUCAAAAUAAUGUUAGAAAAGAGAGAAAAAAAUUUUAUUCUCACGAAAAAACUUGAGGAUGAUAGCAGUGAAUCAUUGUCUGGUGUGAAGAACUUGACUGCUCAGGAAAAUAAUCUACUAUUAGAGAAGGAGACGUUGCAAGCUGAGAAGGCUCUGUUGAAAGAAAAUUUUGUAUUUGAAGGUGAUGAAGCAUCAAAUCAAGUACAGAAGUUAAUGGAUGAGGCUAACACAUUGCAGCAGCAGCUGGAAUCUCUUCAUAUCCAGAAGGCAAAACUGGAAUUGCAGUUUGAGAGAAAGAAACAAAAGUCAUCCGAAAGAUUGAAUGAAAUGGAGAAUAAAAAAUUGGAGUUGAAGGAAAUGGUCGAGGACCUUCAAAGAGAUUUGGAAGCAAAAGGAGAUGAGAAAAAUGAUUUAGUGAACCAAAUCAUCAGAGAAUGCUUAAUGAACAAGAGUUUGCAGCAUGCAAGCCAAGGAGGAGUGUUGGAAAUUGGCCUGCAUGCAGCAUGUGAAUUUCCAACAUGUCAUGAAGCAGCCAGAGCCAUGUAUGGAGCUGUGAAGAAAAGAGAUCAAACUGUUGUAUUAUUACUGGGUGAAGUAUGCAUCUUGAACCAGAAAAGUUAGCCUCCAUGCAGCUCAUGCAGAUUCAUACACACAAGAAUUCAUGCACAUAAGUUGUCCGGGUAAAGUACGUGCAAGAAUCCAUGUACAUAAGUUUCCCGGGUAAAGUACGUGCAACUGAAGAUGUUAAUGCUACUGCUUCAUCUCAGUUUCAUUUUGUUACCUUUUAACAAUGUUUUUGUAAUUUAGUUUAUUUUGAAUUAUGUUUGGAUGACAAGUUGAUGUAACUUGAUGGUCAAAGAGCUGGUUACCAGCUUUGUUUAAGUGUGCAAGUAAUAUCAC
rnacentral:lncRNA from 1 species